UACGUAGGGGGCGAGCGUUGUCCGGAAUUAUUGGGCGUAAAGAGCGUGUAGGCGGUUCGGUAAGUCUGCCGUGAAAACCUGGGGCUCAACCCCAGGCGUGCGGUGGAUACUGCCGGGCUAGAGGGUGGUAGAGGCGAGUGGAAUUCCCGGUGUAGCGGUGAAAUGCGCAGAUAUCGGGAGGAACACCAGUAGCGAAGGCAGCUCGCUGGGACGUUACUGACACUGAGGCGCGAAAGCGUGGGGAGCGAACAGG
rnacentral:rRNA from 1 species